rnacentral:lncRNA from 1 species
AGGGGAGCGGCACCCGUGCGGGACGAGGCGGCGCCGAGCCCCGCACCGGGCCGGCGGAGGAGAGGAAGGGGCGGAAGGGAGGAAGGAGGAAGGCCCCGCUCCGCAGGCCGACGCGACCCCCAGCCCUCACCCACCGGUCAGCCGCCGCGCCGCGGCCCAGCCGCCCCCGGCCCGCGACACCCCGCAGGUCGCCGCCGCUGCUCCCGCAGGCCGGGCGCCGAGGGGGCGGAGCUCCCGGCCGCGACAGCCAAUGGCCGCAGACGCACAGCACGUCCCCGACCGCGACGUAUGCAGAACCCGCCCCCCGGCCUGAAGCAGUUGGCGCCAAAGCGAGGAGCGCGAGGCGGCAGCGCCCCGCCCCUGCCAUUGCCCCGCCCCUUAUCCCCGCCCCCGCCCGGCUGCGCGCCCCCGGCCCGGCCCCCGCCGCAGCCGCGGGGCCCCGAGCGCGGGAAGCCGCGCUGCCCCCGGGGCGCCGGGCGGGACCAGCAGGGCUCCUCCCGCCGUCGCCCGCCUCGCGGGCGGAGGGGCUGCGGCCCGGCGGUGACGGCGCUGGUCCCGCAGGCCGGUACCGUCGCCACCCGGCCCUCCCGAUAAAGGCUGCGAUGGGUGGAAAGGGGAGAGGAGUGGCCGGAGGAGGCUGCCUGGGCUGCGCUGGGCGGCCCGGCCGCAGGAGCGCCGCGCUAGCUCACCUGGUGCGAGUGGGGGCGCGGAGGGCCGUGCCCCGCUGCUGCGGUGGGGCGGCCGUGAGGCAGCUCGGCCGUGAAGCCCUGCCGCGAAGGCCGAGGUUUACGCCCGGCUGCUGCGCUCGGGGAUCACGCUGUCACACCCCGCCGGAAACAUCGCCAGUGCCCGGGAUCCGCGCUCGGGCUUCGUGCGCUGGCUGCGGACGGCGAGGGGAGCUGGGGAGGGUGACGUGGGAAUGCUAACGCAACGCCGGCCGCCUUCCUCCCGAGCCUGAACCACCUGUUUGGCUUAGUCACCGCCCGCGCUCCUCCUCGGUCGGGACUCCGGUGCCAUGACCUAGAUUUAAAGGGCUUGAGGGCGAGCACCGCGGCCUGGGGCCCGUGACCAGGCCGGCUACAAGCAAGCCCUGCAGCGGCAACGGCCGCGCACUCUCCGCGGGGCAGGACGGAGCCCCGCACGCUCCCGCUCCCAGCGCCGCGAGACAACGGCCGAGCCGCGCUCCGCUGCCGGGCGGCUGCCUGGGACCGCCCGGGGCCGGGGGGGGCGGCGGCUCCGCUCCACUCCCCUGAGGCCACACCUCCCGGCGGCCGCGCGCAGCGGCGCGUGCUGG